UGGUCCAUCCUAAUUCCUGGUGGCCGCCCGGGGCCUUCCAGGUUUCGCUUGUGGCCCAGAGCAGCCUAGAAGCCUCGUCCCAGGAGGAGCGAGCACGGCUCCCAUGGGCUCCUGCCAGAGGCACUUCUAGACAUUC